rnacentral:rRNA from 1 species
AGCUCCAAUAGCGUAUAUUAAAGUUGUUGCAGUUAGAACGCUCGUAGUCGGAUUUCGGGGCGGGCCGACCGGUCUGCCGAUGGGUACGCACUGGUCGGCGCGUCCUUCCUUCCGGAGACCGUUCCUACUCUUAACUGAGCGGGGUCGGGAGACGGAUCGUUUACUUUGAAAAAAUCAGAGUGUUUCAAGCAGGCAACUCGCUCUUGCAUGGAUUAGCAUGGGAUAAUGAAAUAGGACUUUGGUGCUAUUUUGUUGGUUUCGAACACCGAAGUAAUGAUUAAUAGGGACAGUCAGGGGCACUCGUAUUCCGCCGAGAGAGGUGAAAUUCUCAGACCAGCGGAAGACGAACCACUGCGAAAGCAUUUGCCAGGGAUGUUUUCACUGAUCAAGAACGAAAGUA